UCCUGGCUCAGGACGAACGCUGGCGGCGUGCCUAAUACAUGCAAGUCGAACGAAGCUUUCUUUCACCGAAUGCUUGCAUUCACCGAAAGAAGCUUAGUGGCGAACGGGUGAGUAACACGUAGGCAACCUGCCCAAAAGAGGGGGAUAACACUUGGAAACAGGUGCUAAUACCGCAUAACCAUGAACACCGCAUGAUGUUCAUGUAAAAGACGGCUUUUGCUGUCACUUUUGGAUGGGCCUGCGGCGUAUUAACUUGUUGGUGGGGUAACGGCCUACCAAGGUGAUGAUACGUAGCCGAACUGAGAGGUUGAUCGGCCACAUUGGGACUGAGACACGGCCCAAACUCCUACGGGAGGCAGCAGUAGGGAAUCUUCCACAAUGGACGAAAGUCUGAUGGAGCAACGCCGCGUGAAUGAAGAAGGCCUUCGGGUCGUAAAAUUCUGUUGUCAGAGAAGAACGUGCGUGAGAGUAACUGUUCACGUAUUGACGGUAUCUGACCAGAAAGCCACGGCUAACUACGUGCCAGCAGCCGCGGUAAUACGUAGGUGGCAAGCGUUGUCCGGAUUUAUUGGGCGUAAAGGGAGCGCAGGCGGUCUUUUAAGUCUGAUGUGAAAGCCUUCGGCUUAACCGAAGUAGUGCAUUGGAAACUGGAAGACUUGAGUGCAGAAGAGGAGAGUGGAACUCCAUGUGUAGCGGUGAAAUGCGUAGAUAUAUGGAAGAACACCAGUGGCGAAAGCGGCUCUCUGGUCUGUAACUGACGCUGAGGUUCGAAAGCGUGGGUAGCAAACAGGAUUAGAUACCCUGGUAGUCCACGCCGUAAACGAUGAGUGCUAAGUGUUGGAGGGUUUCCGCCCUUCAGUGCUGCAGCUAACGCAUUAA
rnacentral:rRNA from 1 species